GCAAACUGUCCUACGGUGUUUUCUGUUCCUGGGGUUUAUGCAGAUUGCUGCAGCAGAGAAAACUUUUCUGUGGCAUAAACAAAUCUCACUGAAAGUACCAGUGGGACAGAAGGAGAGUGAGCCCCCUUUGGACUUCCAAGACCUGCUUUGGCAAGAGCUGCUUAACAGCCAAAAGCAAGAAAUUCUCCAACACCUGAGGGACAGGACCCUCCCUGCUUCCCACCAUAAGUACUCCCUUUAUGCAGCUUGAUAGGCCUUAAGGAGCCUCGAAGGUCUUUUGAAAGAGAGUGAGAGGACAAGCAUCUGGACUGCCCUUUCUCAGCCAGCCUGACUCACCUCUUUACUUUGGAAUUACAAAAUCAAGGGUCCUGAUACAGGGAGGAUGAUUACAUGGCUGUGAUACUGAACAAAAGCUGUUGAAAUCCACCCCAGAGCACUAGUAGCAGCAUUUGAAGAGGCUGAGCUGCAGUGACGGUAGCUUUGUGCCAGAUGAGCCUUCUGGGAAGCUGGGACCAGCCUGAGGGACAAAUCCAACCUUGAAAAACAACCAGAAGAAUGGCAUGCAGAUCAGAGGAACGCUGUAGAGUUCAGUCGAAAGCGAUCCCUUAGAGACUUAUGGAAGCCUUUUAGAUCACCCUUGACUUCCUUCAAAUUCAUCACAGGUACUCUCUGGGUAAAAGAAAAUAAAAAUAGAGCUUGAGACAUGCCUUGGAAAGGAUGAGCACCUGAGGAGCAUUGCUAUUUUCUGCAGCCUCUCCUGCUCUGUGACUCUGUUGCCUACCAGAAGUUUAUUACUGCUGUUGUAGCUUGUGAAAAGUGACACUGCGGAUCUCUGAGGCUUAAAAAGCUGGCCUGCAAUGACACUUACACAUCUUAAGUGUGGCAUGGAUGCAUCCAAUUUCCCAUUAGGCAGCCCUUGUGGGACUGAAAGUGUCUUCUCAAGAGCAAGAGGCAGAGCAGUUAUUUCAGCAUUCCAU